UUGCAUUACACAGUUUUUUUCCCCCCUCAGGUGUUGGACGUGCGGCCCAGACUGAGGCCAUCCUGACUGCAGGGACGCGGGUCUGUGCCUACUGGAGCGAGCGCUCUCGCUGUCUGUACCCUGGAUAUGUCCACCGAGGAGGUCCAGGUGAGGCUGAGAAGGAGGGCAGCGUGAUGGUGGAGUUUGAUGACGGUGACAGGGGAAGGAUCUCCCUCGCAAACAUCCGGCUUCUGCCCCAGGAUACCAAAUCCGCUGUGCGGAACCCUCACCGGCACUUCUGAUCUCACCUGGUCGCCGUGGUCGCCGAGGCUCCACC